CAAUAAUUGCGAAACUAGUACAGUAUAAAAUGGGAGAUCGCCCAGCAAUAGAAUCAUCAGUUUUUACCAUAUUCAAACCUAUUCGGAAAUACUGUAUUUUUGUGAAUUUCAAACUCGAACGUGUUUUGAAACCAUGAAGCCAAUUGUUGCUCUUUUUUUCGUUCUAGCGGCUCUCUGUGUCGCGGUAAAUUUCGUAGAAUGUACAAUUUGUGCCAAAGAUCAACGUUCAGGUGGACCACAAAACUUUGAUAGCAUUUCCGCGAUGAAUGCUGCAAACCGCGCAGGUGGAAAAUAUGUUUUCCAGCACAAUGGAGCUUGCUAGAGGACGUUGGGAACUUUUCAGUAUUUAAUCAGUGAUGCACCAAACAGCAAGUAAAAAAAAAAAUUGAUUAGAAAGCAAAACCCAAAACAAUCAAAUAGAAUUUUUGCACUAAGUAUGUAAAAUAGAAAUAAUAAUACACUUUAUUAUUCAAAUUAA